rnacentral:lncRNA from 1 species
CACAUGCCUCUACUGGGGCCCAGCAGCCUUCUGCAUUGGCUGUUCUGCAACCAGCCAAGGAACGUCGGAGCUCUUCCUCCUCUUCAUCAUCAUCUAGCUCCUCCUCCUCUUCAUCUUCAUCUUCGUCAUCCUCCUCUUCCUCUGGCUCCAGUUCUAGUGACUCAGAGGGCUCCAGCCUUCCUGCUCAACCUGAGGUGGCACUGAAAAGGUGAGGGAAUUAAGGGUUCUAAGGAGAAGGGACUCGAGUGGGGGAGUCGGGAGGGAGAAACCUUGUCACAGGCACUUGGCUUUGAGAAAGUAUGGGGGACCUUGGCCUUCAAGCUGGGAGUAGAAAGAAUGCUGGGUGGGGGCUUUGUGGGGAGGAAUGGGACAGAUAAAAAUCUCCAAAGGUUAAUUCUCCAGAGGAUAAUGAUAAGUUUUCCAUCUCUACAGAGGACAGAACUAGAGGAAAUGGACUUAAUUUUACAGCAGGAGGGAUGGCAGUUAGACCUCAAGAGGAACUCCCUGGGCUGGAAGGAUCUUCAGAGGUCAUCCCAUCCCUCUCCCUGCCUCCAGGCAGGACGGCCCCUCCCCAGCCAACCUGCACUCACAGGGGCCUCCCCAAGCUGCGGCUCUCCAAGGAAGGAGAUCACCCAGCUUCAGCUUCCACAUCUGAGUCCAGGGGCCUUAAUCCUUCAUCAGGGACAUUCUUGAGGUUUAACCUUGAUCCCUUGUGCUUCGGGCCCCAGCCUGUUGCUUGUGUUAGCAGAGGUUUGGUCAGCUCUGUGCCACUGCUCCAGAGAAGUGCUCACUGGCCUGCCUUCGUGGUUUCCCAGGGCCUUUCAGGCACCCCUCCCCCACUGCCGUUCCUCCAGGCCAAGGAAGGUAGGGUUGGGGUUGGGGCAUCUUGUCUCCUUGUGACACCUUUCUUCUCUCACAGGGUUCCCAGCCCCACCCCAGUCCCAAAGGAGGCUGUUAGAGAGGGACGCCCUCAGGAACCAACCCCGGCCAAAAGGAAGAGGCGCUCUNNNNNNNNNNNNNNNNNNNNNNNNNNNUCCUCAUCCUCCUCCUCUUCCUCCUCUUCCUCCUCUUCCUCUUCUUCCUCUUCCUCUUCCUCUUCCUCCUCCUCUUCUUCCUCCUCUUCCUCCUCCCCCUCCCCUGCUAAGCCUGGCCCUCAGGCAUUACCCAAACCUGCAAGCCCCAAGAAGCCACCCCCUGGCGAGAGGAGGGCUCUGGUCUGGCCACCGUCAUCUCCUCCCGACUCUGUCCACAGCCUCCUCCCUGUCUCCCUGCCUCCACGCCAUUCUCUUCCACACGUAGCCAGAGGGAUCUUUCUAAAACGCACAUCUGGUUACUUCCCUUCACUCCACAAAUCCUUCCGGAACGCCCUGUGGCCUGCAGGAUAAAGUGCCACCUCUGCGGGAAUGGCGUGUGAGGCUCUUCGCCAGCUGCCCUUGCCCGCCCUGUGCUCCUCCUGCCCGCCCCCACACAUGCCCCGUGCUCCGGCCAUACCCAGCGCCUUGCAGUCUAAGGAGAGCCCCAUGCCUUUGGACAUGCUGUUCCUUCUGCCUGGGAUUUCCUUGUCUGCCUGGUGAACUCGUUCUGCAAGACUGCAUUCAAACAGCACCUCCGAGAAGACUGCCCUGCCAUUUCCCUGUCCUGCCCAGGUCCCCAUCCUUGCUCUGGAUCCCCAGGCCCAUGUAUAUCCAUCCUGCUGGGCUGUUUUCUGUGUAGGGGGCAUGUGUGCCUUCAUUGUUGAACUCCAUUACUACCAAACAAAAUUCUUCCAAGGGCAGGGACUCUUUUAUCUUUGCAUCCCCCGCUGCACCCUUGUGCCCUGUCCACUGGGGCACUCGGUGGAUGGUGUGCGGGCGGAUGGGUGAGUGCGGAAAAAGGUGGGUCUGAGGCUGGCCCUGUGUGGUGUGAGGUUUGGUG